UUGCUCCUUAACCUCUGCGGUGCUUCAAGCAGCAGCAGCCAUCUUGCCAGCCUGGGGAGGGAGCCGGAAGAGAGGAAGAGGAUGAGCGGGCCGGGGUGUGACCUUACAGAGCCGCCAUACUAAGCCCUUGCAGGGGCGGAACAUUUUCCCUUCCUCCCUUCCAGAUUCUGUGAGUGCUUGUCAAUGAUAGGACCUACCAGAAGCUGACAAGGAGGUCUGGGAAAUGUAGUUUUUUGGCUGCCAAGCACUGGACAUAGAAGGGAAAAUAGCAAGAUAUUGCCGUGGAAACGUCAAUUCCCCAGGCCAAGAAGACCCCCCGUUUCCCAGAAGCUACUUCUACAAACUCUAGAAUAUAAAUGAGCCUGGCCCAAUCACGCGCUACGUCCGGACCCAGCGGAUUUGCAGCACACCUGCAUUGGAGACAUGACAUCUCCAGUUGGGCAGUCUUCUUGGGAGCAUGAGAAAAAGGGUCAGGAUGAAACAGACGCAUCAGUCCUGACAUCACUGAGCCAUCCAAGCAAACUGCAGACUUCUUGUUAAACCCAGUUUUGUUGAAGCUGCUGUUAGAUUGUUCUGUUACUUGCAGCUAAAUGUAUUCCAAACUAGAUUCAGGAUUAAAAGUCGUCUUUUUCUUUACGUGAAGAAUGAUCAAUGAAAUGUCAAACUCUGAAGCCCAAUUUCUUAAGUUUGAAUCCCAACUCUGCCACAAGCUGCCUGUGUGUUUUGGCCAAGUUAAUUAACUUCCCUUACCUCAGUUUCCACAUCUGUAGAGGACAGAAUAAGACUUGUCUCCUAGGACUAUUGGAAGGACAAAUUAAUUGAAAUACAUAAAGUGCUUGGAAUCAGCCUUAUACAUAGAGAACACUAUAGAGGGGCAGAGCUCUCCUUCUCCUCCUCCUCCUCCUCCUUCUUACUAUUACUAUUAUUCAACCCUAAGUUUCUUAUUUCACACAAGGACCAUAUUUAUAUCAGGUUGUGGAUAAAUCAAUUUGAAUAAUAGAUGAC